AUGACCAUGUGGCGUAUUUGGCACGUCCGUAACGAGAUAACUCAUCAGAAGAAUCCGCCCCCUACAGAAGCCUCUUGCAGAUUUCUCCAUGGGUAUAUUAAUUCUCUACUAUGUAUCCGACAACAUCCUAGAGCUGAUAUUGUUAAAGGCAAAAUGGUGGUGCAUUUGGGAAGGUCGGCUGCUACACAAAUUAAACAUAGUGGUGAGGAGAAGCGAUGGAUGCCACCAGCAGUUGGCUUGGCCAAGCUGAACAUGGACGGGAGCUACGUCCCAGCUACAGGAGCUGCUGGCGGAGGUAUGGUGCUGCGUGGCGCUGCUGGAGAGAUUAUUUAUACUGCUUGCAGGCAAUUACGUACAUGCACUAAUGGUUUAGAGGCGGAACUAGCUGCGUGCAGUGAAGGGCUGGCUCUUGCCCUCCACCGUAUUGAGUUGCCGAUUGUCAUUGAGAUGAAUAGUUUGGAGGCGGUGUCGAUGCUUAACUCGCGGUCCGUGGAUCGCUCGAACCAUCGUGUACUCGUACAAGAGAUUCUUGGGUUAAUUGCAGCUGACCCUCGAAAGAUUUCUAUUAGUCAUAUUAGUCGCUCUCAAAACACUGUUAGUCAUGCUCUUGCCGCUUAUGGUCGUAGUACCCCUCGCACCGCCGUGUGGUUGGGAUCUGGCUUGCACAACAUUGUAAAUCUUUGUAUGGCUGAACGGCCUCCUUGA
rnacentral:rRNA from 1 species